GACGAACGCUGGCGGCGUGCUUAACACAUGCAAGUCACGGGGCCGCAAGGUAACGGCGAACGGUGCGUAACACGUGAGCAACCUGCCGAUCUGAGGGGGAGUAGCCGGCCCAACGGCCGGGUAAUACCGCAUACGUUCUUUGAGGGACAUCCCUUGAAGAAGAAACCUCCGGGGCAGAUCGAGGGGCUCGCGGCCUAUCAGCUAGUUGGCGGUGUAACGGACCACCAAGGCGACGACGGGUAGCGGUCUGAGAGGACGGCCAGCCACAUUGGGACUGAGAGACGGCCCAGACUCCUACGGGAGGCAGCAGUGGGGAAUCUUGCGCAAUGGCCGAAAGCCUGACGCAGCGACGCCGCGUGGGGGAU
rnacentral:rRNA from 1 species